rnacentral:rRNA from 1 species
UACACUCCUACGGGAGGCAGCAGUGGGGAAUAUUGGACAAUGGGCGCAAGCCUGAUCCAGCCAUGCCGCGUGAGUGAUGAAGGCCCUAGGGUUGUAAAGCUCUUUCACCGGAGAAGAUAAUGACGGUAUCCGGAGAAGAAGCCCCGGCUAACUUCGUGCCAGCAGCCGCGGUAAUACGAAGGGGGCUAGCGUUGUUCGGAAUUACUGGGCGUAAAGCGCACGUAGGCGGAUCGAUCAGUCAGGGGUGAAAUCCCAGGGCUCAACCCUGGAACUGCCUUUGAUACUGUCGAUCUGGAGUAUGGAAGAGGUGAGUGGAAUUCCGAGUGUAGAGGUGAAAUUCGUAGAUAUUCGGAGGAACACCAGUGGCGAAGGCGGCUCACUGGUCCAUUACUGACGCUGAGGUGCGAAAGCGUGGGGAGCAAACAGGAUUAGAAACCCCAGUAGUCCCAUG